GUACACGCUGUGACUAGCAUAUCAAUAAGCGGAGGAAAAGAAACUAACAAGGAUUCCCCUAGUAACGGCGAGUGAAGCGGGAAGAGCUCAAAUUUGAAAUCUUAAAGGGUUUCCCUUUACGAAUUGUAGUUUAAAGAAGUGUUUUCUGUUGAGGUUUUGGUAAAAGUUCUUUGGAAUAGGACAUCAUAGAGGGUGAGAAUCCCGUAUUUGACCUUUACUUUCAACUUUGUGAUACACUUUCAAAGAGUCGGAUUGUUUGGGAAUGCAGUCCAAAAUGGGUGGUAAAUUUCAUCUAAAGCUAAAUAUUGGCGAGAGACCGAUAGCGAACAGGUACCGUGAGGGAAAGAUGAAAAGAACUUUGAAAGAGAGUUAAACAGUACGUGAAAUUGUCAAAAGGGAAGCGUUUGACACCAGUGUUGUUUUUCUGAAAAUCAAUUAAAGAACUGUUUAUGCUAAGCUGUUUAGACUUUAUCAGCUAUCUGUUUAGUUUUGAGCUUUUCUUUAAUGCACUUUUCAGUUAACAAGUCAACAUCAAUUUCUUUUGCUGUAAAAAAGCUUGAGGAAGGUGGCUUGAGAUUCGUCUUAAGUGUUUAUAGCCUCUUGCCUAUGCAGUCGGAGAGAUUGAGGUCUGCAGCGUAGAUCCUUCGGGGCUAAAUGCAUUUGCUGCUAAGUUAUAGCAUUUUAUAGACAACUUGUUGACUAUGAUUUGUCUUGUAGCUUACUCGCUUAUGUUAUUUUACCUACGCUUAGGAUGUUGAAGUCAUCGUAUCGCGC
rnacentral:rRNA from 1 species